UCGAGAGGGGGGGACAAAGGUCACGGAGGAAGCAGGUUUCAUCUUUAGGACAUGAAUUAUCAUUUUCAAAAUCACAGGGGAGGAAGAGGAGACAUUCUAUAACGAGCUGCAGAUCUCGUAACAACACCAGGAUAACCCGAAGCUGCAACAUGCUCCUGUACGUGGCUGUACAGCUCUGGCUUCUACUUCCGCAGCCAGGUCUUGCACAAAGUGACUCCGUGGACCAGUCUCCUCGAGAAGUGAGAGUCUUAGCGGGGCAAAGUGUCACUUUACACUGUAACUUCACCACCGCUGGCACAAACCCGUAUCUGUUUUGGUACCGGCAGUAUCCGAACCAGCCUCCCCAGCAUAUACUGACUAAAGCGAAGUUUGAUGCUCUGGAUCAGACGCUUGUCCAGGGAAAAUUCUCAGCAUCUUUGUACAUGGCUAAUAGGACGGUUCCCUUCAAGAUUGAGGCUGUUUCUCACCAGGAGAGCGCUGUGUAUUACUGUGCCCUGAGACCCACAGUGGGGGAGAACUGCAUCUCCGCUCUACAAAAAGUGAGCAGGGGGCUGUUUAUGGCAAUAUGA